GGGGAUAUAGCUCAGUGGCAUGGUGCCUGCCUGGCAAGCACGAAGUCCUGAGUUCAAUUCCUAGUACCA
rnacentral:tRNA from 1 species